AGAAGCUUACAAUUCGUUCAUUCUCCUCAUUACUUUGGUAAUAAUCACCAAUAAUUUAAGCUCCGUGACUAACUUUUAGAAUUUCGAAUAACUGCUCAAAAUGAAUAUUAAGGCAUUUUUUAUCCUUCUGAUCGUGGCAGUGACAUUUUCUGCAGCAUUUGCUAACACCAACAAGGCAAUGAAGGAGGCACAACAGCAAAAGGUCUUCAAUGCUCAUGCUGAAACUUUGGAAAUGGGAAUUUUGGGUCGAGUGGGAGGACCGAAAUUGAAAUUGGGGCGCCCUCAACCCCCCGCGCACAUCAACAUGAAACAAUAAUGAUGUCCCUUUAACAACGCGUACUUACAUGGAACACCCUGAUGCAUAAAACCGUCUAAUGAUCACUUCGAUGAUUGGUUGUCAGAAAUGACUCACUUUAACAUAACCAAUUUGUCAUCAUAUUUACCACUAAAAUUAUUAUUGUACAAUAAAUUACUUCAUAAAUUGGCCU